CCGAGGUGCCUUACGGUGGCGUCAGAAGAUAAGACAUAUUAAACGCAGUUCACCUCGGCUAUGCAAUGUCAGAAUCGGUCGACUUUUUAAACCUGAUAGGAGUCAUUCUGCACUAAAGAAAGUGGUGAACUUUGAGCGUCGGGACCCGGAAGCGUGUUAUUUUAUUGUCACAUGGCUUGAAGAUUUCAAUAACAACAAAAAAUGGCGACAAUCACGUUGUUCGCUGUAAGGCUUGCUGCGUCAUUAAAAAUAUUCACGUAAACAAGGGAGUUCAGCGUUGAAAAUGCAGCCGCUAAAGGAAUAUUACGCAGAUGUUUUUUCAUAAUUUGGCAGGCGUUUCCACCGUCCUGAGAUGGCAAACACGACGCGCUGAUGGAGUUGUUUACAAGAAGAGAUUCACACGGAGGGCGGGGAUGUUGUGGGCGGGGCCUUUGGGAUGAUGUGGGAGGAGCCAAGCGCUUGCCAAAUACAAGAACAGAUUAUAAAAGGUGGAGUCAGAGUUACCAUAACAAGUGUGUCGUCACAGUAUGAAUAAUUAAAGCUCAAAACGAAGGUAUCGAAUCUCCUGCUCUCAGAUAGGCAUUUGACAUCUAAUGCGGUGUAUCCAAUGAAAAUAUGGCAUGAAGUCCAAUAUUGAUAUUAUAUUAUUUCUGCUUUGUACAAGUUGUUUAAUAAUAAAAUAUUUACAUCUACUCAUAUAUAUAUAUAUAUAUAUAUAUAUAUAUAUAUAUAUAUAUAUAUUAUACACACACACACAGAUGUUAUGUCAAGUUUAUUGAGCCUAUAUUAUACAUUGAUUGUUAUAUCUUGAAAACAGUAAACAUCACACAUUGAUAUAUGAAGUCAAAGUUGAUAUCCCAGAGUGAACAUGGACAAGAAGAUGUGUGAAGAACGACUGCCCUGGCUCUGCUUGAUUUGACAGGCUGCCCUGGUUCAGUUAUCACAGUGCUGAUGCUGUCCAUCUUAAAGGUACAGUACUGUGAUAACUGAAGGAUGGCUGCCAUCUUGACAUCUAGCCUCACAAAAAUAUUUUUUUUACAGGUGAAAAAGGUAACUAGAUAAAUGAAAUGUAUUUUGACAUUUUUUUUGGGGGGGGGGGGUUAAAAAAACACACACACUUUAGAAUAGAUUACUUACAUUUCAUUCAUGUUUUUCCUGUAGAUUUAAAAUUAAAUAAAAAAACAAAAACAUUUCAGCUAAUGUUUUCUACACUUUCUUCUAUGUGUUCUCUGUAACAUUUGUUAUAAUAAAUAGUUUUAUUUCUAUUUCA